UUGCAAAUUUGAAGUUCUCUCUCAAGUUUAGACAUAACUGUUAUAAUUUAAAGCUUGCUCCAAACCUAAACUUGUGGGAUGAAAACUUGAUCUGAAGUCUAAGUUGUUAACGGAUAUGAUAUGGGAAGGUUGAGCUACUGUUUAUCUGUUCCUAGAGAUGCUAGAAUUCUAUAGAAUUUUAUCUUUAAAAAAAAUCUUUAAAAUAUUGCAUGAUGAGUUCCUGUAUGAUGAGAGUUUAAAUUCCUACCACAGCCAUAUAUAGAUGCUUGCUAGACUUUGAGCCAUGCAUUUACUUUUUACUGCUUAUGAGCAUUGAGUGUGGUCAAGCUGUGUAGACCCCUAGGAGCUUGUCAUGUGGUUAAAUCAAGAUUCACUUGCACGUUCACUCACAUAUGCUACUUCUACUCCGGAAGUACCAUCCACAUAUAUCGACUCAUUUCCAUAUCCAGAACCACCCAAAAAUAUUCUACUUCUAAUCCGGGAGGGAAUAGCCAAAAACAUUUCUGUUUUUCCCCUGUGAAAUAAAUGCUCAAGUUAUCUUGUUACUACCACUUGCUAUAUUAUCUUAUGAGAUGAGUGCUCUAAAAAAAAGAUACGAGGAAAUAAAAAGGGGCAAGUGCCCGGAACCUCGAAACAAAAGAAAAAAAGUGAGACGAGAGGUAAAAAUGGACAAGUGUCCGACAGUAGAAUUAGGGGUACAAGAUACCCACCUGAGAGGAAAGAAAAAGAAAAAAAAAGAAGAGCAUCUCAUUCUCCUCACAAAAUUCCAAAAACCAAGGAAGGUAUGUAUCCCCUCAAAGAGCAAAAGUAGAAUUAGACUUUCACCAUUGUUAUCACCAUCAUCACCAUACACCAUUCAUUCGCCACACAUGCACAUCUUGAUUUGGCUUAUUGAUUUGUUUCUUUGGAUCCAUGGUUUGACUAUACAAUAAAUGUCUUGUAAGUAUGUAUAUUUUAUCUCCCACCUAUGAGCUCCAGAUAUUAAAGCCUUAUUAGAGUAGGGUGAGAGAGAAGGCAAUGUCACUAUGCCAUAUACCACAAAUAACACAUAUCUUGAGAGAAGGCAUAUACCAUCACUGCCUUGGUAAGGAUUCAGAAAUACCACAAAGGAGAGAUUUGAGGGGGUCAUACAAGGAAUCUCAGAGUUUUAUUUGAAAAUCUGCAAAAACUCCAGAGCUAUAGCUGAUCAAGAAUAAGAGACAUGGCACUUGAUUAGACCGUUCUAUCUUUUAACUACUCAUGACAGAAGUGAUGGUUACUAGUCCCAUGGUGAAAGGUAGAGUAAGUAAGUUUUAAGUCUUGACAGUUUACUCUAACUCAGAGAUGAGACCUUAUUUAAAAGCAUGUGUACCGUCAAUUUUUAAAGUAUUGCAGCAACUUCUAAUCUAUCCUUGCUCAGGGACGAGCAAGAGGUAAGCUUGGGGGAGUUUGUUGACGGUCCUCAAGUAUCAAAUUUAAUUAUCAAAUAAACAAAGAAAAGGAUCCAAAUGAAAUCAACAUCUAGACUUAGGGUUUUAUCUGACAGAAUUCCACGAGUUUUGGUGUUUGUCUAUUUCUGCAGGGGGUUAUCAAGAAAUACGGAAGAAAGGCCCACACGUCGGUAUUACAUAGAGAUAUUAACGUGCCGCGCAAUUAUCUUACAUCUAGAAGACUCCAGAAGCCACGGGAAGGAAGCGGAGGCUGAACGGGGCCAGGCACUGGGCGCCUGCCCACUUGACCGGGGCGCCCGCCCCCUGUUGGUGUCCAAUCAGGACACUCUUUCGGGAAAGAUCUCCACCGACCAAAAGGAUCAAGGAUAACCGUUCAAUCAAUGUCGGUUUGAUCCAACAGCCCAUAUUCACUUGAAGGGACUAUAAAACCAGACCCCCUGGCCCUUGGAGGAGAGAGCCUCUCAACCCUAAUUCAUUAUUCUCAAGGGACAAGAAGCCCCUGAUCAAGCCUAGAGCCACCACAUCAAUUAGACAUCUAGAUUAGCAUAGCUACAUAGGAUUAGAACUAGAAGGAGUCAUUCUUCGAUUGGUUUCCGGAUCUGUCAAGAGGAUUCUUGGUAAUUCUCUAAUUGUUCUUCUAAUUGUUCUUCUAAUCAUCUUUAUUCUUCAAUAUUAUGAAUAUGACUUUGUUCUACUUCAAUAUAUUGCUUAUGACUUUGCUCUACUUGUUUAUAUUCAAGAUUAUAUUGUUCUUAGUUUAUCAUAGUUAUGUACUUGGCUUAGUUAGAUUGGAUCUAUAUACAUGUUUAGGAUCGUAUAGCGUUUAUCCAUCGGAUCCAUGGGUAAAUGAUAGAUAUUGUGUAGGCAUGGUGCUUAUACCGUAUUUUUCUGCGAUUGUACCUAAUAUGCCAGAUCGUGGGGUAGUUCGUGAUAGUGAUAGUUUCAUUGAUUCUUAUAUAGUCCCCCUCUCAUGUAUUGGCUGGCAGAGCAAUAUUAUUACAGGGGAGUGAUUGCUAUGUUUCUCAUUUACCUUGCUAAUAUCACUAUGCAAGGGCGUAGUCUUGUCUCGCAAUGAUUGCUAAGUAUGCUUGCACUAACUAUGAUAAUGCUAGACUAUAUAGUUGAGAAUAACUUAGGAAAUAUUCUUGUAGUUCGUUCUAAUUCCAUGCUAAUGACUUUCUAGAGUAUAAUUAAGGUGCCUAUCAUAUUUAUUAUGAGGCUAAGUUAUGCUGAUUAGAUUAAUUAUCUUUGUCACUAUUCAUUACUUCAUAUAUCCUUUAUGUGACACUUACCCCUGUAUGAAAGAGUUAGAUAAAUGUUCUCAAUUAUACAUGCAAUGAUAGAUACUCAAUCUUAUAUUCUAUUCUGUAAUCAAUAUUGAUAAUUGCUAAUCCCUUCCCAGUGGUAAAAAUAUAAAUAACGAUACCUGGAAUACUUUCCGGUUAAAAUGCUACAUCGGUAUUAAUCUGUGCACUUCCAUAUCCCAUUUGUUAUUUAUUUAGAAGAGCAAUUGCAUAUUUCAUUACCGCAUCUCUCAUGUCAUGCUGGGGAUGACAACUUGGCUUAAGUGGUAUGAGGGAUAGGUUUGGCAUUUUUGGCACUGUUACUAGAAUUAGAAAAGUAAGUCUACUUUUGGUAAUGAUGUUAAGAAUAACCAACAAUAGACCGAAAUGAGAUUCCAUAUGACACACGUCAUCAAGGAGUUCUGUUGGGUGCGUCCAAAUUGAUUUCAGGGUAUAUGGCACGUUCCAUGCAAACCGUGCAUCUAUCUUGCAUCAAGAUUAGCACUAUCUUCAAAUAGACCAACCUGAGCUUUCACUUGAGCCCUUUACCUAGGAGUACCAUCCGGUCCAUCCAAAAUGGUUUCUUAGCCUAUGGUGCAUUAGGUGGAAACCAUGCACCUAUCUUGCACUGAAACUAACACUAUCUCCAAAUAGAUCAAAACAAGAUUCCUUAUGACACACGUUAUCUAGGAGUUCCAUCAGGUGCAUCCAAAUUGAUUUCCAGGCAUUUGGUUUGUUCCAUGCAAGCAGUGCACCUAUCUUGCAUCAAGAUUAGCACUAUCUCCAAGCAGACCGAAUCGAGCUUUCACUUGAGCCUCUUCACCUAGGAGUACCAACCGGUGCGUCCAAAAUGGUUUCUUAGACUUUGAUGCAUUAGGCGCAAACUGUGCACCUAUCUUGCACUGAAACUAACAAUAUCUCCAAACAAACCGAAGCAAGAUUCUAUAUGACACAUGUCAUUUGGGAGUUCCAUCGGGAGCGUCCAAAUUGAUUUCCGAGCAUAUGGUACGUUCUAUCCAAACCGUGCACCUAUCUUGAAUCAAGAUUAGCACUAUCUCUAAAUAGACCGAACUGAGCUUCCACGUGAGCCUCGUCAUCUAGGAGUACCAUCAUGUGCGUCAAAAAUGGUUUCUUAGCCAAUGGUGCAUUAAGCUCAAACUAUGCACCUAUCUUGCACCAAAACUAACAGUCUGCAAAUAGACCGAUGCGAGUUUCAAUAUGACACACGUCAACUAGGAGUUCCAUCGAGUGCGUCCAAAUUGAUUUCUAAGCAUAUGGUAUGUUCCAUGCAAACCGUGCAACUAUCUUGCAUCUAGAUUAGCACUAUCUCCAAACAGACCGAACCGAGCUUCCACUUGAGCCUAUUUACCUAGGAGUACGAAAAGGUGUGUCCAAAAUGGUUUCUUCAGCUAUAGUGCAUUGGGCGUAAACUUGCACCUAUCUUGCACCGAAACUAACACUAUAUCAAAACAGACCGAAGCGAGAUUCCAUAUGACACAUGUCAUCUAGGAGUUUCAUCGGGUGCGUCCAAAUUGAUUUCCGAGUAUAUGGUGCGUUCCAUGCAAACCGUGCAACUAUCUUGCAUCAAGAUUAGCACUAUCUCUGAAUAGACCCAACCAAGCUUCCACUUGAGCCUCUUCUAUUAGGAGUACCAUCAGGUGUGUCUAAAAUGGUUUCUUAGCCUUUGGUGCAUUAGGCGCAAACCGUGCACAUAUCUUGCACCGAAACUAACAAUGUCUCUAAAUGGACCGAAGCGAGAUUCCAUAUGCCACAUGUCAUCAAGGAGUUUCAUUGGGUGCGUCAAAAUUGAUUUCCAAGCAUAUGGUAUGUUCCAUGCAAACUGUGCAUCUAUCUUGUAUGAAGAUUUGCAAUAUCUCCAAACUGACCGAACCAAGCUUCCACUUGAGCCUCUUCGCCCAGGAGUACCAACAGGUGCGUCCAAAAUGGUUUCUUCGACUCUGGUGCAUUAGGCACAAACCGUGCACAUAUCUUGCACUAAAACUAACACUGUCUCUAAACAGUUGGAGACAGUGUUAGUUACAGUGCAAGAUAGGUGCAUGGUUUGCGCCUAAUGCACAAUAGGCUCAGAAACAGUUGCGGAAGCAUCCAAUGGUACUCCUAGGUUAAGAGGCUCAAGUGGAAGCUCAGUUCGGUUUGUUUGGACAUAGGGCUCAUCUUGAUGCAAGAUAGGUGCACGGCUUGCAUGGAAUGUACCAUAUGCUUGGAAAUCAAUUUGGCCACACCUAAUGGAACUCGUAGAUGGUGUGUGUCAUACGGAGUCUCGCUUCGAUCUAUUUGGAGAUAGUAUUAGUUUCGGUGUAACUUAGGUGCAUGUUUUGUGCAGAAUGAACCAUAGGCUCAGAAAGCAUUUUAGACGCACCCGAUGGUACUCCUAGGUGAAGAGGCUCAAGUGGAAGCCUGGUUUGGUCCAUUUGAAGAUAGUGCUAAUCUUGAUGCAAGAUAGGUGCACGGUAUGUGUGGAACAUACUAUAUGCUCAGAAAUCAACUUGGACACACCCGAUGGAACUCCUCAAUGACGUGUGUCAUAUGGAAUCUCAGUUCAGUCCAUUUGGAGACAAUGUUUGUUUUGGUGAAAGAUAGAUGCAUGCUUUGCGCCUAAUGCACCAUAGGCUCAGAAAUCGUGUUUGAAGCACCUUAUGGUACGACUAGGUGAGGAGGUUCAAGUGGAAGCUUGGUUCAGUCUGUUUGGAGAUAGAACUAGUCUUGAUGCAAGAUAGGUGCACGGUUUGCAUGGAACAUAUCAUAUGCUCGGAUAUCAAUUUGGACACACCUGAUAGGACUCCUAGAUGACGUGUGCCAUAUGAAAUCUCGCUUCGGUCCAUUUGGAGACAAUGUUAGUUUUGGUGCAAGAUAGGUGCACCGUUUGCGCCUAAUGCACCAUAAGCUACGAAACCAUUUUGGACGGACCUGAUGGUACUCCGAGGUGAAGAGGCUCAAGUAGAAGCUUGGUUCGGUCUAUUUGGAGAUAGUGCUAAUCUUGAUGCAAGAUAGGUGCACCGUUUGCGUGGAAUGUACCAUAUGCUUGGAAAUCAAUUUGGAUGCACCCGGUGGAACUCCUAGAUGACGUGUAUCAUAUGGAAUCUCGCUUCGGUCCGUUUGGUGACAGUGCUAGUUUUGGUGCAAGAUAGGUGCACGGUUUGCGCCUAAUGCACCAUAAGCACCCAAUGAUACUUCUAGGUGAAGAGGCUCAAGUGGAAGCUCAGUUCGAUCUGUUUGGAGAUAGUGCUAAUCUUGAUAUAAGAUGGGUACAUGGUUUGUGUGGAACGUACCAUAUGCUCAGAAAUCCAUUUGGACUCACCGAAUGGAACUCCAAGAUGACGUGUGUCAUAUGGUGUCCCGCUUCGAUCAAUUUGGAGACUGUUAGUUUUGGUGUAACAUAGGUGCACUUUUUAUGCCGAAUGAACCAUAGGCUUAGAAACCAUUUUGGACGCACCUGAUGGUACUUGUAACAGAACCGUCUAAUUUAUAAGAAUUCAAGUGAAUUAGCGACCACAAGAGCAAUCAAGCCAAUGGACUUGAACCCAUAUAAACCCGGUAGUCCGACAAAACCUCAAAGAUCUCGACUCAACCAACAUACAACCAAGACCGUACAUGAUCAAGCAUCUCCAUCACAGAUUACAACAUUCAUCACAGAACAGUUUUUACAACACAUCGGAGUUCAAAGAGAGUUAUUACAACAGUUCAGUAGUGGAAGCAAAGUAGUUUUGAACAACACACAUACUGAGUUUAAUUACAUGCCAGUUCCAUGAUCAACCCAACAAAAGCAUAACCGAAUAUAAUAGAAGUGAUCUUGCCCAUGAUCUACUCAUCAUCCGCAGCCGGAUGGUGACAGUUAGCACAGUAGCCGUGAUACACGACAUCAUCUGCAACAAGGGUAAAUAAAACCCUGAGUACGAGAAUGUACUCAGCUAAACGUACCCAUCAUAAACCAGAAAUAAAGUGACACCAAGGAGUAUGCAAGGCUAACAUUUGUGGACUGGUUUGACUCACAUUUUUGCAUAAAAAGCUUUAGUUUUAAGUAACACAUAUAUACAAUUUCAGCAGCACGUUUAUUACUUAAACAGCUAUCCACUAGGUUAGCACCUAAGCUAAGCAUACACUUGAUUAUUAAGCAUCACAAUAAUAACCAUAUCCGGAUUAUCACCUAGCCAUCAUCAUUCUCAUCAUAACCAUUAAGUAUCUUUAGUGAAUUCUACGUUGCCGCUGCUCGAGUCAAGUUCUCACUAUCUGGGAGAGACGGCGAUUCGAAUCGAUUCCUAUCUAGCUGGAGGGGUAUUCCUAGCACUCACCCAAGCCUACCUCGCGAGGGCAGCUCGGAUCACCUUCAGCACAACUCUGGACCAAUUCACGGGUCCGUACAACGCCGCACCCCCAGGGACCGCCAAUCUGCCAGGGUCAGGACUCUAACCUGACACCUCGGUCUUACGCCAUUGACUCCCCGCACAUCCUUGCUACCAACCGGUGUGCGCACUUAAACCGAACGGGGUAUCCGGCCGGAGAUGCACUCGUAGGCUUCGCGGUCGGAAAUACUUAUCCGGUCAAGUAAGUGUUAGGCAUGCGUUCAACAUGACACGAGGACGUACAGCGUAUCGGUCCUUAAACGACACAGACGGGGAUAGAUUCACACCCAAGACCUCCAUGCCUUGUUGCUGCACUAUCGUCAUCCCACCUGGUCUCAAUUCAUUAUUAGCCCAUGGUUAUUUCCAUGAUAGCAAAUAUAGCCAACCGUGAUCCAGUAUCCACCUAUCUCUCACAGGUGACAGAAAUCACCCGGCUUCUACCGAGCUAAGCAUAAUUUUGAUCCUGGACCUACUUAGGUAAGUUAUAAGGUGGACAAGGUAGUCAUUAUGCAGCAAGGGUGUCAUAUUAACGCCUAACACUUAAUGCAACAAUACAUAACCAUAGUUAAUUGACAGCUGGACAUGAUAACAAAAAUAGUAGGAGUCUUAUAAUGCUCCGGGGCUUGCCUUUGACGUAGGUGGAAGGACGGUGAUCCGGACACUCCGGCAGAUCCUCUUCCUCUUCAGCUCCUUCUCCUUGAGGUGGCUCCCACUGCUGCUCCUCCAGCUCGGGUGGUGCGAACUCCAAGACCGUCACGCCCUUGGGUACACCUAAGUAUGCAUGACAAGGCGAUAAACAUAGGGAAUGCACAUAUGAUGCACGAUGUCAUGAUGAAGAGCCAAAGGAACAUAAAGCCAUGUACAAACAUAAGUAUAAAGCUUAUAAGAUUAUGAGGAUCAUGAAAUAACAAGUAAGUGCAUACUUCUUCUCUGGUAGAGAGACUAACUAGACAAGUAAUCAACCUUAGCUAUUCACACACAACAACUGGGGUCAUGUACAGAUUAACUAGUCACAAGUUCUGGUUAUAACUUAAACAUCAGUUGGCCAAAUUAAGCAAGUAAGAACUUUCUGGAAAGCUUAAAAAAUUGUCUACAAUUCACUUUUAAACAUCCCAGAAAGAUUCCCAACCGAAAUAUGCUGAAACAGGCAAAGCUUGCUGGCUGUCCUGGAAAAUCCAGAGAGCAAGCACUUCGCAGCAACUCCUAGAAACAGUCAUAACUCUUACACUACUUAGCCUAAUGUUAUGAAAUUUUGACACAAGAUAGAUAAGUAAGUUAGCUACAAGUUUGUUAUAGACAAGUUUUCCAGAAAACUUCAUCUUCAAGCAGUUCUUAAGUAAGUUCUACUAACUGCACAGAAUAAGCUCUAGACAUGGCUUAAUUAACAAAAUAAUAUUUUAACACAUUAAGAAUGCAACAUUGGUUCAAACCAAAAUUACCAGUAGCUAGCAUAUAUCUAAGAAACAUCAUAAAACAUCAUGGCAAGGUUUAAACUCAUUUUUAUUAUCCCCUUUUAUAUUUAUUUAGUUAUUAAGAUGAUUCAAUGAGCAUAUACCACAAUUGCUCCAAAAAUUCUAAUAAAAUUACAGAAUGCUAUCUAAGCUACCACAAGGUUAAUAUAAAAUAUUCAGGGCUCUUGCACAUGUAUAUUGUGAGAUACAAAAAUAACAAGCUAACUAUGGCAUUAAAGGCAUAAAUGUGAAACCCUAUCAAAAAGUGUCAAACAACAGAUUUCAGAUUUUUUUAGCUUUGUUUACAGAUGAUUACAUCACUCAGAAAGUUUCAUCAUAAAAGGAGUUAUAAUCUAUUUACUAAAAAUACCACAAAAAACUCCUAUUUAAACAAGAAAUAUUUAUAACUCUACCAACAGGCAUCCAAAAAUCAUGAUAAAUUUAUCAGAGCCAAUACAUAGCAUGAGGAACAAUCUCCUAAAUUUGCAUGGCCAUAAAACAUACAGAUCCCAAAAUAUAAUUACCCUCUAUUUUCCAAGGAUUAAAUCAUAUCUAUUUAUUUCUUCAAAAACAUGACAUGUUUUAUAUUUUUAGUAAAAACUAGACUAACUCAAGAACCUAGAAAAAUUGGAAUCACUCCAUUUGGAUCUGUCUAACUCAAGUUAUGAAUUUUACAAAAUCAGCUCAGAAUCAGCAAAACAGUGGACCAGAGGGGAGAGAGUGAGAGGCUGACGGGUGGGGCCUGCUAACAGAUAGGACCCACGCGACAGAGAGACAGAGAGCAGAGACGAGCUCGUUGCUGGCGAAUCUCGACGACGGCGAGGUCUCGGUCGAAUCCAAGGGCACAGUCGUGACCCUCUCACCAAGGCGGACCUGCCAAGGUGCAAAACCCUAACUCUACCGAGCUCUAGGGUGCUCGUCGGCGUGAAUGGCGGCUCGGCGGCGCUGCGGGCGAUACGUCGGCGUGCUCAGCCGAUGCCGACCCGGUUGAGGUUAACGCCGAGCAUCAGUGAGUCAAGGGGAAGCUCUAGGAACAAAAAUGAGAAGGAAUGGUGGAGCAGGGAGGCCUGGCCACGUCGCCGGUGAGCUCGGGCGGAACUCCGACGAGGAAGAACGGCUCGGAGCUUGGCAAUGCCGCCUUACCCACGCUCGACAGUGGCCAAGGAGGUGACGCCGAGGUAGUUGUUGACAGUCCUUAAUGCUCAUAUUUAACCAUCAACUAAUCAUAGAAAAGGAUCCAAAUGCAACCAACACCUAGACUUAGGGUCUUAUCUGACAGAAUUCCACGAGUUUUGGUGUUUGUCUAUUUCUGCCGGGGGUUAUCAGGAAAUACGGAAGAAAGGCCCACACGUCGGGUUUACAUAGAGAUAUUAACGUGCCGUGCAAUUUUCUACCAUCUAGAAGACUCCAGAAGCCACGGGAACGAACGGGAAGGAAAUCGGGCUCGGAGGCAGGGCGCCCGCCCAACUCUCUUGGGCGCCCGCCCAGCUACAGUGCCCAAUCAGGACACGUUUCGCGGAUUAUGCUCCACCGACCUAAAGGAUCAAGGAAAACCGUGCAAUCAAUGUCGGUUUGAUCCGACGGCCCAGAUUCACUUGAAGGGACUAUAAAACCAGACCCCCUGCCCCUGGAGAUCAUACCUCUUCUACAGAAUCAAAGCUAGGGUUUCAAUUCUUCAUCCAAGUAGAGAGGAUCCCUCUAGUUCUUCUAGUUCUACCUCUAGUUCAUCUAGAUAUAGUUCUAGUUCAUCUAGUUCUAGUUCUAGUUCCUCUAGUUCUAGUUCUAGUUAGUUCUAGUUGUAAUCUAGAAAAUAGGGAGAGAGAAUAGGAGAGCCGAGGAGGAGCCGGAUCUGUCGGAUCUUCCUCAACAUUAUACUUUUGCAGCACCUGGUUCGUUCUUCAUCGUUCUCCAGGUUCUUCAAUUCAUAAUUCCUGAGUUCUCUAAUUACUUUUAUUUACAUUCAAGUUAUUUAUUGGAUUCCCGCUUGCAUCAAGUGCUCUAAUCUUUGAAACAUUAGAGUAUUAAUUAAUAGAUUAGACGUGGUGUUUAGUCUUGCAAUUACCUAGAAUUGCACCCAAUCCUGCGGAUUGUUGUGGUAGCUUUAAUGUAGUGACAGCCCUAAUGGUCGACGUGUUCCACCUCGUUCGGAUCGGUGUUUGUAGGACCGUAGUCGGAGCUUCCUAGCCCCCUUCUCAUCUCUUUCUGUGGUUAGUGUUCUGAUGUCCCGAAAUAGAUAAUCUUGAAGUAAUUCUUGAUUCUUAGAUCAACUAGAGAACUCUCAGGAAACUUCCUCUCUUCCCUGUGGAUCUUGGAUCUUAAUUAGUACACUCACGUUCCCUGUGGAAAAUCGAUACUCUGGAAUACUCCCGGGUGAAGGCUACAUCGGUAUCCAUGCGCUUGCGGAUUUUUCUGUUUGCGUUUAAAAUACCCAACAAGCUAUCUGGCGCCGUUGCCGGGGAACAGUAGCUGUGCUAGUUUCGAACCAAGUCAUCCGUGUAUCCUUUUUCUUUUCCUUUUUACCACACUCACCUUAUCAUUUUCACCACACCACAUGGAUUUCACUCUAAGCAUCAAUGAGCAUGGAAUCUAUUUCAUAGACACUUCAUUUACUCCAUGCUCAUAUGCAACAUCUUCACAAUCCAUUGGUCUCUCCAACAUCACCACAUUCGAGAUCUCCAACCCCCUCUUCCUUUCUAUUUAUAAAAACUUUAAAAGGGCGGUUGUCGAUGCAUAUGUCUAUAAGAAAUAUUGCAGAUCUCGUUGAGUUGAUCUUGAUAUAGGUCAGCGCUAGAGGGGAAACCACUUCACUGACAUAAAUUGAUGGUUUCCCAAGGACAAGCUUAGUGUCCUAAAAUAAGCACUGAUCAGAUCGUAACAUGAGCUUUGAAUUAUUUGCAACAUUACCUUGUGUAUUGAGCAUAUAAGGAUAAUUGUAAAAAAUUCCUUCGGCUAUUCUUGUCACUAACCUUUCCAGGAUUGGAGCAAGAAGAUCGGAUGAAUGACAAGCACAAGGUAUGUCCAACCAAUCAUCAUACAACAUUGAAUUAAAUUCAUCCAAACUUGAAUUUUGCAAAAUUCAAGCUUGGGGGAGUACUUUACAUAAAAACAUUCUUUGCCAUGUUGCUAUGUUGGUUGUCCCUACCUUUGAGACAUGCUCAAUUUGUUAAAUAGUAAUCACACUACUUCAUCUCCACUUGAGUAGAUCUCUAUAAAAGCCAUCACGCUACCUUUGUUUAUCCUAGUAAGUGCUAGUUUGGAAGUACUGUACAUACUUCUAUUGGUUUUUAAAUUAAGCAUGGUGCUUAGGUUAAACAGCCUUCAUUAAUCUAAUUAGACAUGGAGUCUAGUUUGGUUAUUGAACUAAAAACUGCUUGUGUAGACAUUGGUAUAUUUUGUUGGACUAACCCCUACAGAAAAAAAUAAACUUUCAAUAUCAACCUCGGAAGUCCUGAGAUAAACUCACAUUGGAGACAAAGAGAGAGACACAUAAAGGUUAACAAUUUACACAAGGAAGGCAUAGCUCAGAAGAGAUGAUCCAUGGAGGGUGCCACAAACACGAUGCACAACCUCUAAGAAAGGAAAGCUUCCACAAGGUGAUACUAUACCAUAACUCUUCAAGUAAGGUAACAUCUUAAGGUACUUGACUAUCACUUUUAUAAGCUUGUGCUUGGUUCUGGUGUUCAUAUGAAUAAAAGAGACAAACAUGUAUGAUUUACAAUUCUAGGUUAACCAACCCAAUCGAUUCAACAUGUUUAGUCCUUCCACCGUUGUGAUCUCACACUCCUAAUCAUAUGAACUAAAAUGUUGCACACUCAAUCUUUGGAAGAUAUAUAAAAAACAACAUAAAUAUAGAUAGAUUAUCUUUCCAUUAGGUUGAGCAAUCUGAUCUGGCAAAUGUUUUAAAUGCUACACUCAUGAUCUUAUUAUCCAUCAACUUUGUCUUGCUCACUAUGCUUAAGGUUAGAGAAGAACAAAUACACUUUUGGUUCUGUUGGUGUUUUCCACCAACAGGGCCCAUGCACUUGAUCUCUGCCUUGUCUCUAUGAGUAGGUACACUUCGAGCAAAAUAUGAAGGAGUUUUACAACUCCCAGACUCCACCAAGUGAAGAACCUAGAUAUAUGAGCACAAACACGCUGGAGAUACUGGACACUCAUGCAAACACUGCCCUGAGAUGCUUGAGGAUGUAACUACUGGAGUAACCCCGUUGUGGAAGUAAUUACUGACCUUCUGUCGAUCAAGAGAGACAAUCUAGAAUGCCCUGUCAUCCCAAUCUCCAUCGGCAUGGUGGACUUCCUAGAAGAAGUCUGGGACUUUGGCUCCAGCGUCAACAUUAUACCUAGGGGAAGCCAUUCCUGAACACCUCGGGAGCUGUCAUCUACGCUAGUGCUGCCAAGAUCAGUUUCUACAUCAAGGGGAAGAAGGAGACGUUUUCCUUCAAGAAAUAAGACUACACAAAUCCUAGAGCAAUCCCGACAUGAACCAAGGAAGAGGACCAACAGGAGGAACAAGAACAAGUAAAUGUGUACCGAGUCAGCUAAGAUGGUCACUGCAGCUCAAAGAGGUCAAGAUCGUCAACUCAAGUCACCUUUCUUGAUCAAGAAGGACGACCCUGGUGUCCUAAGCAUCGAGUGCACAAUCAAUGGAUAUUCUUUUCAGAAGACACUCUACGACACCGGAUCUAACGUCAACAUAAUGGCCGCAGUCACUUAUCAGCUCCUGCAUGGAACCAUGUCCCUACAACCAACAUACAUUCAGCUCCAGAUGGCAGAUCAGACAUUCUAAAAGAUUGAAGGUUAUUGACAUGGGAGAAGACGAGUAUGAUCCACCCAUCAUCCUUGGAAGACCGUUCUUAAGCACCAUUAAAGCAAUCAUAUACAUUGGAACCAGAGAAGUCCACAUGCACUUCCCCUCAAAGAAGGUACGCCACUGUUUUACUGACUCUAACUAUAUAGUUAAAGACUCUAAGCAGGUCAGGACAAGAAGAAGACGACGCAACCGCAACCAGAGGAGGCAAAUCAUCAAGGACGGAUGGGUAGACUAUGAAGGAGAAGUGGUAAGGUCUGAAGACAUACAGCUUGAACAGAACUGUCCUGAGGAGACCGUAGCAUCGAGUCAGGUGUGGAAAGAGAAGAUAGCUAUACACGAAGAGGAAGCACCAUCGGAACCACCGACUACGCCAUCCAGCGAAUCCCAGAAUGACUCAGGAAACGGAGAGUCCCGUUCGGAGGACUUAAAAACACCGAACGCCUUGCCAAGAGGUAAACUUGGUAGUUAUCUUUUUUCUUUUAAUUAUUUAAAAUAGUUUGCUUAGUUAAUCAGGUUCACAUCACCUUGAAAAGAAAAUAAAAAUAUUGAAAAUAGUAAGCCCCAUGUGAGUAUGCUCAUGGCAUAAAACCCAUAAGUACAUUCACUAUGGUGGCAUAAAAAUAAAAUAAAUAUAUUCUUGUCCUAUAAAAAUAAAAUUAUAAAAAUAAAUUUAUGAUCCUACUAAAGAGUGUAACAUUUAUUAAGGAGGCUCAACAUGAUAAAGGCUAGAUAUUUAUGCUAACACUUAACUAGUUCCACAAAGCUUUGUUGUCUAUUUGAGCUCCACAGAAUUCAAGGAUCAAAGAAUACUAGCAGACGGAGGACAUCCUAGUCGCUGUCAGGGUGCUGCCGACAUUCAAAUACACCUCCACCACGUGCUAGAUACAUCAGGAGAAAUUGCGUCAAAAUCCAACUUGGGGGAGAGCACCCCCAUUUAUCCAGCUAAGUGUUCUACUGAUGUUUAUAUUUUACUCAAAUAAUAAAAAGAUGCAUAAUCAUAAAAACCCAAAUAACGAUUUUGUGCUUACAUAUAUAUCUUUGCUUAGUUUGCUAAAUAAAUAAAUAAACAAAGUUUGCAAUAAACCCUCGUGAUAAGCUCUCACAUGGAAAUGAUGAAUAGUUGCUCUGCCAUGACUAGUUCUCAAAAUUGAAAUCUCUCUCAAGUUUAGACAUGACUGUUAUUAAUUAAAUUUGCUCUAAACCUGAACUUGUGGGGAGAGUACUUGAUCUAAAGUCUAAGUCGUUAACGGAUACGAUAUGGGAAGGUUGAGCUGCUGUUUAUCUGUUCCUAGAGAUGCUAGAAUUCUGGAGAAUUUUAUCUUUGAAAAAAAUCUUUAAAAUGUUGCAUGAUGAGUUCCUGUAUGAUGAGAGUUUAAAUUCCUACCACAACCAUAUAUACAUGCUUGCUAGACUUUGAGCCACACAUUUACUUUUUACUGCUUAUGAGCAUUGAGUGUGGUUAAGCUGUGUAGACCCUUAGGAGCUUGUCAUGUGGUUAAAUCAAGAUUCACUUGCACGUUCACUCACAUAUGCUACUUCUACUCCAGAAGUACCAUCCACAUAUAUCCAUCCAUUUCCAUCUCCAGAACCACCCAAAAAUAUUCUACUCCUAAUCCGGGAGAGAAUAGCCAAAAACAUUCUCCUAUUUCUGUUUUUCCCUGUGAAAAAAAUGCUCAAGUUAUCUUGGUUACUACCACUUGCAAUAUUAUUUCAGGAGAUGUGUGCUCAAAAAAAAGAAAGAAAAAAAGAAAGAAUGCGAGGAAAUAAAAAGGAGCAAGUGCCCGGAACCUCGAAAGAAAAGAAAAAGUGAGACGAGAGGUAAAAAUGGACAAGUGUCCGAUAGUAGAAUUAGGGGUACAAGAUACCCACCUGAGAGAAAUGAAAAAAAAGAGAGAAAAUAUAGAGCAUCUCAUUCUCCUCAAAAAGUUUCGAAAGAGCAAGAAAGGUAUGUAUCCCCUCAAAAGAGCAUAAGUAGAAUUAGACUUUCACCAUUGUUAUCACCAUCAUCACCAUACACCAUUCAUUCGCCAGACAUGCACAUCUUGAUUUGACUUAUUGACUUGUUCUUCUGGAUCCAUGGUUUGACUAUGCAAUAAAUAUCUUGUAAGUAUGUAUUUGCUGUCUCCCACCUAUGAGCUCCAGAUAUCAAAACCUUAUUAGAGUAGGGUGAGAGAGAAGGCAAUGUCACUAUGCCUCAUACCAAAAAUACCACAUACUUUGAGAGAAGGCAUACACCUUUACUGCCUUGGUAAGGAUCCAGAAAUACCACAAAAGAGAGACUAGAGAGAGUCAUACAAGGAAUCUCUGAGUUUUAUUUGAAAAUCUGCAAAAACUCCAGAGCUAUAGUUAAUCGA
rnacentral:lncRNA from 1 species